UGUUAUCGAGAAACAUGAGGAACAUAACAGAAUUGAUUAAUAUUUUUUGGAUUGAUUUAUGAAGAAUAUGUUAUGCGUUUCUUCAGCAACUAAAAGAAUUACUAAUUUAUUUUGGAAAUUAGUUUAGGGAUUGAGAGGGAGGGAGAGAGUUGUUUUGUUUAUGAUGUUUGUGUGUUUGUUUGACUUCAAGCCAAAACCAGAGAUAGCUAAGGGUUUAAGUGCUGAAUUAACCCUUGAACCAGAUGCGUAGGCUACAAUCCCCUGGAGGUGGAGGCGAAGACAUCGAUAUGGCGAGGGAUCAAGACGGUGGAAGAGUGCCCAUUUGGGCUUUAUUAUUGUUUCAACUUCUGAAAGGAUUGGGAGGGGUUUGAACUUUGAUCCGUGGGUUUUUCUCAUUGGGUGGUUAGAUAGCCAGAGGAAGAAGAUGAAGAGUACAUUAAAAACAAAGUUUUCUUUUCAAUAUUUGUUUUAUUAUUCAAUAUCAAUUCUAAUUAACCCGUCGUUAUCUCUCUGUGGAAAAUGGGCACAGGAAAAUUGAACUCCCCCAUCCCAACCCCUCAACCUCCCCCAACCCAUCCCCCAGCCACAUCCUCCAAAUCAUUGUCACUCAAAAUGUGCGUUUUGGAACCCCAACACCUAAUAUGAGAAACAAGCUUCAAAAUCUCCUCAUCACGCUCAUCAAAACCCUCGCACUCCCUCACAUCCAGAAGCAGUUUCAUGACAGCCCGAAGCACAGCUCGGUUUUCAACAGUUUUCUUUAAUCUCCAUUGCUUGUUUGACAAAACGUCAUUCUCUAAGGUUGUUCCUUAGUUGGAGAACUAUGACAUCCAAAAAUCAGAGCAAUCCAACUACUCUGCCUAUGUCUGUGAUGACAAUACUUCCUUCAUGAAGCUUGUUCAGAAUUCUUUUCUCUACAAUAUAUCCAAAAAUAGUGGCAGUCCAACAAGUGUAGCUUUCUCGGCAGUGGUACACCUGAAACAAGCUUUUGUUAGUUUUCAAGUGUUGUUUGAAUUGGUUAUUUCUCUUUGGGAGCUUCACGUUGGAUUUCGGACCAAUAUUAAGGAAUCAGUUGCCCAAGCAAGAACAAUUUGAGUUCAAAGGUGUAGAAUUCAAGUGAGGCAUAAGCUUUGGAUUCCAGGUAGGGGGACUCACUUCCAGACUUGUAUUUUUGUGUAUGUAUGACAUUGUAUAUAUUGUUAUGUGCGAAAACGAAAACUGUAAUGUUUGUGAUUGCCUAAUUAACACUUUAGUUUUCUUUA